rnacentral:rRNA from 1 species
GACGAACGCUGGCGGCGUGCUUAACACAUGCAAGUCGAACGGAAAGGCCCUGCUUUUGUGGGGUGCUCGAGUGGCGAACGGGUGAGUAACACGUGAGUAACCUGCCCUUGACUUUGGGAUAACUUCAGGAAACUGGGGCUAAUACCGGAUAGGAGCUCCUGCUGCAUGGUGGGGGUUGGAAGGUUUCGGCGGUUGGGGAUGGACUCGCGGCUUAUCAGCUUGUUGGUGGGGUAGUGGCUUACCAAGGCUUUGACGGGUAGCCGGCCUGAGAGGGUGACCGGCCACAUUGGGACUGGGAUACCGCCCAGACUCCUACGGGAGGCAGCAGUGGGGAAUAUUGCACAAUGGGCGGAAGCCUGAUGCAGCAACGCCGCGUGCGGGAUGACGGCCUUCGGGUUGUAAACCGCUUUCGCCUGUGACGAAGCGUGAGUGACGGUAAUGGGUAAAGAAGCACCGGCUAACUACGUG